rnacentral:rRNA from 1 species
AUUGAACGCUGGCGGCAUGCCUUACACAUGCAAGUCGAACGGUAACGCGGGGCAACCUGGCGACGAGUGGCGAACGGGUGAGUAACGCAUCGUAACGUGCCCAGUAGUGGGGGAUAGCCCGGCGAAAGCCGGAUUAAUACCGCAUACGACCUACGGGUGAAAGGGGGGGAUCGCAAGACCUCUCGCUAUUGGAGCGGCCGAUGUCAGAUUAGGUAGUUGGUGGGGUAAAGGCCUACCAAGCCGACGAUCUGUAGCUGGUCUGAGAGGACGACCAGACACGCUGGGACUGAGACACAGCCCAGACUCCUACGGUAGGCAGCAGUGGGUAAUUUUGGACAAGGGGCGAAAGCGUGAUCCAGCCAUGCCGAGUUCGUGAAGAAGGCCUUCUGGUUGUAAACCGCUUUUGUCAGGGAAGAAAUCUUCUUGGUUAAUACCUCGGGAGGAUGACGGUACCUGAAGAAUAAGCACCGGCUAACUACGUGCCAGCCGCCGCCGUAAUAC